GACGAACGCUGGCGGCGUGCCUAAUACAUGCAAGUAGAACGCAGUUGCGAACGGGUGAGUAACGCGUAGGUAACUGCCUCAUAGCGGGGGAUAACUAUUGGAAACGAUAGCUAAUACCGCAUACUGUGAGAUGGACCUGCGUUGUAUUAGCUAGUUGGUGAGGUAAAGGCUCACCAAGGCGACGAUACAUAGCCGACCUGAGAGGGUGAUCGGCCACACCGGGAAUGAGAAACGGCCCAGGCUCCUACGGGAGGCAGCCGGAGGGAAACUUCGGGCAUGGGACGAAAUCUGAACGAGCAACGCCGCGUGAGUGAAGAAGGUUUUCGGAUCGUAAAGCUCUGUUGUUAGAGAAGCGGUAACUACCGAAAAAGCGCCGGCUAACUACGUGCCAGCAGCCGCGGUAAUUC
rnacentral:rRNA from 1 species